rnacentral:tRNA from 1 species
AAGAAUUUAAGUUAAAUAAAACUAUUGACCUUCAAAGCCAAUUACAGAAAUCACUUUCUAAUUCUU